CUUCCUACCGGUGCUUGCACCGGGAAAGAAGAGUGGCGGACGGGUGAGUAACACGUGGGUAACCUACCUACAAGCGGGGGAUAACAUUCGGAAACGGAUGCUAAUACCGCAUAGAUCUUUUUGUCUCCUGGCAGAAAGAAGAAAGACGGUUUCGGCUGUCACUUGUAGAUGGACCCGCGGCGCAUUAGUUAGUUGGUGAGGUAAUGGCUCACCAAGACGAUGAUGCGUAGCCGACCUGAGAGGGUGAUCGGCCACACUGGGACUGAGACACGGCCCAGACUCCUACGGGAGGCAGCAGUAGGGAAUCUUCCGCAAUGGACGAAAGUCUGACGGAGCAACGCCGCGUGAGUGAAGAAGGUUUUCGGAUCGUAAAACUCUGUUGUUAGAGAAGAACAAGGAUGAGAGUAACUGCUCGUCCCUUGACGGUAUCUAACCAGAAAGCCAUGGCUAACUACGUGCCAGCAGCCGCGGUAAUACGUAGAUGGCAAGCGUUGUCCGGAUUUAUUGGGCGUAAAGCGAGCGCAGGCGGUUCUUUAAGUCUGAUGUGAAAGCCCCUGGCUCAACCAGGGAGGGUCAUUGGAAACUGGAGAACUUGAGUGCAGAAGAGGAAAGUGGAAUUCCAUGUGUAGCGGUGAAAUGCGUAGAUAUAUGGAGGAACACCAGUGGCGAAGGCGACUUUCUGGUCUGUAACUGACGCUGAGGCUCGAAAGCAUGGGGAG
rnacentral:rRNA from 1 species